UGCAGAUCUACAGGGUGUCUGUGCUGCUGAGUGUCCAGAGCUGACCUGAAGGAGGGACUAAUCCGGAAGUGAGAACCAGUGAGGUUGAUCUGCAGUGCAAGCCUUUCUACCUGUGACCGACUUGGUUUUCACAUUGACAUCCACGACUGGAUUUACUCAUAUUGCUGUGUACCUGGGGGACACUCCCGGCUCAAACUCUUACCUUCUGGUGGAUCGGAGCCCCUUAUUUCUCUCCUUUCUCUUUAUUAUUAUCAUUCAGAUUUAACUCUCUCCCUCAGCAAGAUAAUUAGUGUCACUCUAAAAAAAAUGAAGUCAUUUAAGAUGAGGAAGAGUUGGGUAAUUGUUCAAAAAUCAUAUGCAGGGAGGCCACAGACAGCAUCUUCAUUUUUUUCUGAACUAAUCCCACAAGCAAGACGGUAUGGAG
rnacentral:lncRNA from 1 species